rnacentral:other from 16 species
GUUGACCUUACAGCAAAUCUUAAAGCUACUUCAUUCUAAGAAAAACUCCUGUCAACUG